rnacentral:rRNA from 1 species
CCUACGGGUGGCAGCAGGGGGGAAUAGUGCGCAAGGGGCGAAAGCCUGACGCAGCGAAGCAGCGUGAGGGAUGAGGGUCAUCGGAUCGUAAACCUCUGUCAGCAGGGAAGAACGGUCACUGUGCUAAUCAGCAGUGAAUUGACGGUACCUGCAAAGGAAGCACCGGCUAACUCCGUGCCAGCAGCCGCGGUAAUACGGAGGGUGCGAGCGUUAAUCGGAAUUACUGGGCGUAAAGCGCUCGUAGGCGGUAGGUCAAGUCAAGGGUGAAAUCCCCGCGCUCAACGUGGGAACUGCCUUUGAAACGGGCAAACUGGAGUGUGGGAGAGGUUAGUGGAAUUCCAGGUGUAGGAGUGAAAUCCGUAGAUAUCUGGAGGAACAUCAGUGGCGAAGGCGACUAUCUGGCACAUAACUGACGCUGAGGAGCGAAAGCGUGGAUAGCAAACAGGAUUAGAUACCCCUGUAGUG